AUUAUAUCAUAUAAAGUUGAAGCAAUAUGCAAUGUAUGCAAUAUAGGGUUGAGAGUGUUCUCCCCCUUGUUGAUAAGGAAAGAGCAAAAAGGCAAAUAUAGAGAAACAGUAAUCAAGUGAAUUAAACACAAGUCACAUAAUCAUAUUUGAACAAUAUGCACAUGACACGGUUUGAUUACAAAGCAAAACAGCAUUUGCUCAAAACAAUACAAGAAAACUCCCCCUAUCAAGUUGCACAGACUACCCAAGCAAAAAGAUCCCCAACCUGUCCAAAAAUACUCCCCCUGAGUAUCAUAUAACAUAAAGGAAUUAACCUUUGAUGUACUAAUCCAGCAAACUUUCCAUAAAUAGCCAACAAACACAAAAGUGCAUCAAGCUAAAGAGAAUAAGAAGUGGAGCACAAGUUGCAAGGAAUCAUACCUAAGGCAAUUAAAAUCAAGUGGUUGAAUUUAAUUUCAAUGUGUACACAUUACACAUAAAGAAACUCCCCUAAAAAGACAGAGUUUAAGCAACAUAUUUAUCAAAACAAGGGACAACCAAUGAAUUUUUCUUUACACACCAUAGUGCAAAAUCAAGACAAAGCACCAAGAUUUCAAAAUUUAAGGCAUUAAUCAAUGUCAAAUUUGAAGAAAGCACCAUGCAAGAUGAACCUUAAUUUUUUGCUCAAAAUUGAGGACAUGUGAGAAAGAAUACAAGAAAUAAGUCUCUAGGUUGUCCAAAAAAAAAAAACACAACAUAGCUUCCAAAAAGCACAAGGAGAAGAGAGUGGACUAUGAAAUGGACUAGUCACGCAUGUCUAAAUUUGAGGUGGCAUCAAAAGACCAACAACCUCAUAGACACAGCAAGAACAAAAGAGAGCAAAUCAAUCGAGAUAAGGCUUAGGAAGGCAACAUUGAUGUAUGAAAAUGAUAAAAACAACCAGCAAGAAUGUUGCCAAAACACAUGCAUCUCAAAGAAACUCCCCCAACAAAAUAAAUUAGCCAACAAUCCAAAACUCAUAUAGCACAACAGACUCAUAAGGAUUUCAAGAUUAUAUUAGGCUAAAUCAAUGAAUGUGGGACACACAACUUAUUAAGAUAGGGUCAUAGACCAAAGUGGCAUCAUCCAAACACGACCACACAUAACACAGUACCAGUGUUGAAACAGAAGGUAUAAAUGAGACAAGGAGAAGACAAGUGAACCUUUGUGUUUUGUGUCAUAACCAAUGGUCUUGGUUCUUAGAGAGUGAAAAUUAAUUUCACCAAAAGUCACAAGAUCCCUGUUAAGCAGAUGACUAGUCAACCACAAUUAGCAUGAGCAUAUGUUGACUAGUGAACUCAAGCAAUAUCAUAACAAGCAUCAAUUUUAGUAUCGACCCUGAAGAAGACAUGAUUUUGAUUUUAAAAACACAAACAUGAACUAGCAAAUAUAUCAAGUGAUCAACGAUGUAUUAGCUACUAUAGCCAAGUCCAAGUCUUCAAGCACAGUGAGUAAGCGAGAGAGAAGAUAACCACAUGUGCAAACAAAACAAUUGCAACUAACUCUGAUAGAUAGAAUAUGAAUUAAAUUUCAUGCUCAGAGAUAAGGCAAGAUGGACAGAGGAGGUUCAGAGCCAAAAGAAAAACACAAGAGAUGAAGAAAUAUCACUCUUGGAGAGACAAGUAUAUAAUAAGCCAUCAAGACAUACUCAAAGCAUAGACUCAACCUAUUUGAUUUUCAUCACUCAAUCUGGCCAUUUAUUAUGUUUGUUAUUUGCACAUCCCAGACUUAAGUGCUUGAGUGGCCCAAUUUUGCGGCUCUUGCUCUAGAUUCUUCAAUCAUAUCACCUUAUACCUUCCUAGAGUCGUGACUACAUUGGUCACACUUCCCCGUUUUUUGUUUUUUUUUUUUGUUUUUUGUUUUUAAUAAACAAAUUUCCUAAGAGAGUGAGAUAAGAUAGGAGAUUAUAACAAUGAUUGUCCACAAUGGAUCACAAUACUUGUCUCACCAAGAGGACAUAAAAACACCAAAAAUUUUCAUCUAAUGGCUCCAAACAAGAAGGGGGAAUUAUGCACAAAUCAGGCAAAGCAUAAAAUGAAUCAAACUUCACACCAUCAGAGAUCAGAAGAAACAGAUGUUUUUGACAUUUGCACACCAAGUAAACAAAAAUUUAUAUUUGACUAGUCAACUAAAACGAAGAUGACUAGUCAACAGUUCUGUAAUGUGCUGAAGAUAAGGAACAGACAAGCUAAUCAAUCAAUUGAGCAAAGGCCAAUGGACUACCUAAGUGUGACAUGUUUCUGAAAGUCCAAGGCCUUGGUGAGUAUAUCUGCUAGCUGUUUCACAGAGGAAACAAAUUCCAAAAAUAGAAUUUUGUCUUCCACAAGAUCUCUAAUAAAAUGGUGCCUAAUGUCUAUAUGCUUAGUCCUAGAGUGUUGAACAGGAUUUUUAGAAAUAUCUAUACCACUCAUGUUGUCACAAUAGAUUAAAAAGCAUGAUUGAGCAAGACCAUAGUCUUCCAACAUUUGUCUCAUCCAAAAGAGUUGAGUGCAGCAACUCCCAGUUAUAACAUACUCUGCUUCAGCAAUGAAUAAAGAGAUAGAUUUCUAUUUUUUGCUAUGCCAAGCAACAAGGCUGUUGCCUACAUAAAAGACCCUCCCGGAAGUGCUUUUCCUACCAUUACUACAACCUGCCCAAUCGGCAUCACUAUACUCAACAAGAUUGACACAAGUGUCAUAAGUAUACUACAACCCAAACUCAAAAGUUCUACUCACAUAUUUUAUGAUUCUUUUGAUAGCAAACAAAUGAGACUCUUUGGGAUCACUUUGGAACCUAGCACAAAACUCCUACACUAUAGGAAAUGUCAGGUCUACUUGCAGUCAAGUAUAGAAGGCUUCCUAUCUUGCUUCUAUAGAAAGUUUUCAACAGGGACAGAUGAGCUGAGAUUCUGUUCUAAUUCUAACAAGAGGCAGAUGACUAGUCAUCUUAACUUUUUGUAAAAGAUGGUAGACAGAUUUAAACCUUUGAAAGGUUUCUGAUUUUUCAAGCAAGAGUGAGACCAAAAUAAACCCAAAGAAGUCAUCUACAAUGGAUAGGAUGUAUUCCUUGCCACCAAGGGAAAAUGUUUGGACAAGAACAACAAGAUAAAUGUGAAUAAGUUCAAAAGAACAUGAAAUUUUGUUGAUCACCCAAGAUUCAAAGCACUGUGAGAGAGAUGAUUGAAAGAUAUGCAUGCAAUGUCCACAUUUAAAAAUAAUAAAACAAAAGAACAAGGUGCAAAUGCAUGACAAUGUAUCUAGACUCCAUGAAGCACACACAAAUAAGAGAAUGGUCUAGAUACAUAAAAUAAAGAAACUAGACACCAACAUGAGGAAGAACAUGGUCUUCCUUCUUGAUCCAAACUUGCUUCACUUUUGAGACUUUAUGAGGCGAAGAGAUAACCUUAGGAAUUUUGACAACUUUAUAAAGAAGAUCAUUCACUUGAGUUUGAAGUGAGUCAUCAUUUACUUUCUUGAAAUGAACAAAAGGCUUUUGCUCAAAAUUCCUAAAAUCAAAACACUUUGGUCUAAUGUGUCCUAAUGUGCCACAAUGAUGGCAUAUAGGAAUGAACCUUUUUGGUUGAAGGAAAUCAAAUUUUGCAAGUGAAGAAUGUUUAUCUCUUGUACAAACCACAGACUUUACAGUUGCAUACCCCUUAAAAGAUGACACAUGAGUCUUAAACUCACUUUCUUUGGAAACUUGAGACUCAAUCCUAAGGAUAUGACACCUAGGUCGAAUGUGUCCUUUCACACCACAAUGGUGGCAGGUAGGCACAAAUUUGGAUUGUGGAAGAGACAGCUUUCCCUUAGAAACAAUAUUCAUGGAAUCAAAACCCAAGUUGAGACCAUGAACAAAUUUUGGAGCUUCUUGAGUUGACACAUCUUUGACAAAGAUUGUCUCAAAUGAUGAAGGUGUAGAAGACUCAUUUAUAUAUCCUAAACCUCUUUUAUCACCGAACAAUUUUCCAAAAUUGAGCAUUUUAUCAAUCUUUCCAGCACCAAUGGUUAAACCUUGAAUCUUUUCUUUUUCCAACUUAAGUUCAUGUUCCAAUCUUAUAUUUUCAAAUUGUAAAGCAUCAAAAGAUUCAGAUUGUUUAACCAUGUUGUUUUCAAGUGAUUUUAUCAUCUCAAACAAGUUUUGAACCUCAAUGUCUUUCUCAAAUAACAUGCAUUGCAAAUCAGAAUUUUCAACCACAAACUUAUCAUGCACGACCACAUUUUCAUGCUCAACUAAUGACUUUUCAAACUCAAAUAAAAUCAGUCUAUGAAGAAACAAGGAUUUGUCAUUUUCAAGUACAUUCAACUUCUUAAUCAAAUCAGAAUUUUCUUUUUCAAAAAUGCUAACUUUAUGAUACAAUUCAUACAUGUCAACUUCAUUCUCAUACAAGCUAUCACUCAACUUCUUUUUGGCCAUUUUGAGAGUUUCAUUCAGUUCAUCAAGUUCCUUGACCUUUUCUUCCAUCAUGAGAUUAUGUUCUUUGAAAUUACAGGUUUCAUUGAAAAGCAUAUCAUACUUUUCACAUAGUUCCCUGUAUGACUGGUCAUCAUGUUCCUUGUAUGACUGGUCAUCUUGCAUAUCAUCUCUAGACAUAGAUUCUUUCUUAACUACAGGAACUCUAGCAAGGCUAGAGUUAUGAACAGAACCAACAAGGGCAAAAUUAUUUGCCUCUUCAUAAGAUGAAGUGAUAUAGUUAUUGGAAUCAUCACUACCAUUAUCACUCCAUUGUGCAAUAAUUGACUCUUCUUUCCCAUUAAACUUUGUCUUGUGGUUAUUUGCACAUUCCAUAUCAAUGUGACCAGUACCACCACAUAGAUAGCACUUUACAAGACCUUUCAAACUUUUGUCCUCCCUAAAGCCAUAAGAGUCCAAAACAUUCAUCUCCUUAAAAACAUUGUCUUGAGACACACAUGUAGACGAACUAGGAAGAUUCUGACAAUUCCUAGUGACUUUGGUUUUAUCUUUGACAACCCUUCUAUAAUUCUUAACAAACAAGGCAAGUUCAU
rnacentral:lncRNA from 1 species